rnacentral:rRNA from 1 species
CCUACGGGGUGCUGCAGUGAGGAAUAUUGGUCAAUGGACGGGAGUCUGAACCAGCCAAGUAGCGUGAAGGAUGACUGCCCUAUGUGUUGUAAACUUCUUUUAUAUGGGAAUAAAAUGUUCCACGUGUGGGCAUUUGUAUGUACCAUAUGAAUAAGGAUCGGCUAACUCCGUGCCAGCAGCCGCGGUAAUACGGAGGAUCCGAGCGUUAUCCGGAUUUUUUGGGUUUUAAGGGUGCGUAGGUGGAUUGUUAAGUCAGGUGUGAAAGUUUGGGGCUCAACCGUAAAAUUGCAGUUGAAACUGGCAGUCUUGAGUACAGUAGAGGUGGGCGGAAUUCGUGGUGUAGCGGUGAAAUGCUUAGAUAUCACGAAGAACUCCGAUUGCGAAGGCAGCACACUGGACUGCAACUGACACUGAGGCUCGAAAGUGUGGGUAUCAAACAGGAUUAGAUACCCGAGUAGUC